rnacentral:rRNA from 1 species
UACGUAGGGUGCAAGCGUUGUCCGGAAUUAUUGGGCGUAAAGAGCUCGUAGGCGGUCUGUCGCGUCUGGUGUGAAAAUCAGGCUAACCCUGGACCUGCAUCGGGUACGGGCAGACUAGAGUGCGGUAGGGGAGAUCGGAAUUCCUGGUGUAGCGGUGGAAUGCGCAGAUAUCAGGAGGAACACCGGUGGCGAAGGCAGCCCCCCUGGGUCAAGAUUGACGCUCAUGCACGAAAGCGUGGGGAGCAAACAGG